rnacentral:rRNA from 1 species
UGGGGAAUUUUGGACAAUGGGGGAAACCCUGAUCCAGCCAUCCCGCGUGUGCGAUGAAGGCCUUCGGGUUGUAAAGCACUUUUGGCAGGAAAGAAACGUCAUGGGUUAAUACCCCGUGAAACUGACGGUACCUGCAGAAUAAGCACCGGCUAACUACGUGCCAGCAGCCGCGGUAAUACGUAGGGUGCAAGCGUUAAUCGGAAUUACUGGGCGUAAAGCGUGCGCAGGCGGUUCGGAAAGAAAGAUGUGAAAUCCCAGAGCUCAACUUUGGAACUGCAUUUUUAACUGCCGGGCUAGAGUGUGUCAGAGGGAGGUGGAAUUCCGAGUGUAGCAGUGAAAUGCGUAGAUAUGCGGAGGAACACCGAUGGCGAAGGCAGCCUCCUGGGAUAACACUGACGCUCAUGCACGAAAGCGUGGGGAGCAAACAGG